rnacentral:rRNA from 1 species
CGCCCUAACCCGGCUGCGGUAUGCCCCUUUGAGCGUCAUUGCUACCCUUCGGGAGCCUUUCCUUGGGAAGACCCGAGUUCGGAGUCCUCGGUCCUCGGACCGUGUUCUCUCAGAUCCAUCGCGCCGAUCGUCCGGUAGGUCCUCUAAUGCCUGAGCGUGGAGAGAGCCUCUGGAGUUUUGAGCGGCGUUUGACUGCGUGGCGAGCGCUGGUCACCAAGUCCGCACGGCCUAGCCGUCGGUGCUACAACUCAUGACCUCAUUGGGGUAGGACAACCCGCUAGACUUAAGCAUAUUAAUCAGCGGAGGAAAAGAAACUAACCAGGAUCCCCUCAGUAACUGCGAGUGAAGAGGGGUCAGCUCAAUGUGUGAAUCGGGCUUGGGGUAGCUCCCGGACCCGAGUUGUGCACUAUGGACGCUUUGUCUGCAUCUGUAACGGCGGUGGAAGUCCGGUGAAACACGGCACCUCAGAGGGUCACAGUCCUGUACCACCUGCCUGCACUCGCGCCAAUGACAAGCGCUCCUCGAGUCGCGUAGUUUUGUAAUGCUGCGCCAAGUGGGAGGUAGAGACCUUCUAAGGCUAAAUAUGAUGACGUGACCGAUAGCACACAAGUACCGCGAGGGAAAGGUGAAAAGCAACCAUGAAAAAUGGGUUGAAACAGCAGUGAAAGCGCCACCGGGAUAAGGGCUAUCGGGUGCUGGGGCUCUUGGGGUGUGCUUCAGUGCUACCCUUUGAGACGGCCCGCGCGGGUUGACGUUGGGGCGAUAGACGCGCAGCAGGAAUUCAGCUGU